UACGGGGGGGGCAAGCGUUGUUCGGAAUUACUGGGCGUAAAGGGCUCGUAGGCGGCCAACCAAGUCAGACGUGAAAUCCCUCGGCUUAACCGGGGAACUGCGUCUGAUACUGGAUGGCUAGAGGUUGGGAGAGGGAUGCGGAAUUCCAGGUGUAGCGGUGAAAUGCGUAGAUAUCUGGAGGAACACCGGUGGCGAAGGCGGCAUCCUGGACCAAUUCUGACGCUGAGGAGCGAAUGCCAGGGGAGCAAACGGG
rnacentral:rRNA from 1 species